UAAAAAAUAUUUUAACUUUUAAUUUAAUAUUUUAUCAAAUAAAAAAUAUUUAAUAUAAUAUUUUAUUACAUUUAUUAAUCAAACUAAAUAAUUAUCUAACAUAAUAUAUUUUAAAUUGUGUGCCCAAAAAAAUUUGACUAAUUUCAUGACGGACGGUGGAAGUAAUAUAUAUAUAUAUAUAUAUAUAUAUACACCACAAACGAUAAGACAAAGAGGAACUAUCAUUAUAUAUUCUUAGCAUUAAUAUGAAGAUAAGGAUAUUGGAUAAGCUUUGGGAAAAGUGAAACAAAUAUUAUUGGCAAAAACUCCGUCACUCCUCCACAUUCUCUCAACCGGCGAGUCCUCUGCUGCGAAUCCAAUCUCAAACUCUCAAUCCAAUUCAGUUAUGUGCCCUCGUAGACAUUUUGAUUCUGAAUCUUCUUACUACGAACUCUCUUGGCCAACAUUUCGAUUCAGAUUUCUCACUCAGACUCAGGGAGAAAUGGCUAAACAUGUUCAGAUGUAUUCCAUCCCGAGUAAAAUAGCAAAAUUGAAUAAACUGCUAGAGUCUGAAAAUAAGGAAGUGUUUAGAUCCUAUAUUGAGAAGUCAUGUUUUGAGGGUCUUCUAUAUGUUAGGAAAAUGAAAAUAAAUGGUGAGCCAUUGCUUCAGUUAAUGAGAAAUUGGGACACCGAAAAAAAGUGUUUUGUUUUUUUAGAUGAGACGGAAUGACAUAUUACCGAUGAUGAUGUUGCUCGAGUAUAUGGGCUCCCACAUGGAUUUGGUAAAAGUCUCAUAUCUUUAGUAAAGCCUUCAAACUAUUAUAGUGAAAUUCAUGAAAUUAGCCAACCCUUUGAGUUUGAUACAAUAAAUUCUACGGUAGUCCAAAAUUGUUGGUUAUCAGAGAUAUUACACUCUUCUAGAUUGUACCGUCCUAUUGACUUUUGGAGAUUUUAUGUUCUAUAUUCUCUGUCGACGUUAUUAAUUCUAUUAACAUCUCCAUGUAUCAAUAAUCGAUUCUUGAGGUUCCUUGUAUCUCCUGAGGAUGCUUUAAGAUAUAAUUGGGUUGCUGUUAUAAAAGACAAGUUGGUGGAUUUAAUUCACAAUUUUAAGUGUAAAUUGGUGGAUAACAUAAAACCAACUUGUAGACCGACAUGAGAUAUGCAUUGUCUUAUGGUAAGUGUUUGAAAUGUGUAAAUAUAGUAUGUACAUACAUAUUUUUGUAUUCUUCUCUAAUUUUUUUUGUUAUGUUCAUCAUUUAGUUUACGAUCUAAUUGAUCGUAAAAAUUUGGGACUAGGAGCUUUACUUGCUUUUUUAAGAGACACAUGCGUUUGACUGAUGUGAUUUAAUAUUUUGGAGAGUUUUCAAUUGAAACUCAAAAUAAAUUAGCUGAGGAAAAUAAGGUAUGUGUUACAUAUUAUAUUGUAAAGUAUGUGUUACAUAUUAUAUAUAAGGUGAUGGACUUGUAAAAUUCUAAAUGGUAAAUCUAAAUAGGCAUCUUGUUUCCCAGCAUGUAAGACUAGAAGGUUUCUUGUUUCCUUACAUUUAAUACCUGAAGUUUAUUUGAGCUAAUUUUGUGUAGAGAACAUUAUUGUUUCUUCUCUUCCAUAUGAAGUCUAAGUAUAUUUUUUUGCAAUAGAAAAUUAAAAGAUAUGGGUUCUACUAUG